rnacentral:rRNA from 2 species
GAACGCUGGCGGCAGGCUUAACACAUGCAAGUCGAGCGCCCCGCAAGGGGAGCGGCAGACGGGUGAGUAACGCGUGGGAAUCUACCUUUUGCUACGGAAUAACGCAGGGAAACUUGUGCUAAUACCGUAUGUGUCCUUCGGGAGAAAGAUUUAUCGGCAAGAGAUGAGCCCGCGUUGGAUUAGCUAGUUGGUGGGGUAAAGGCCUACCAAGGCGACGAUCCAUAGCUGGUCUGAGAGGAUGAUCAGCCACAUUGGGACUGAGACACGGCCCAAACUCCUACGGGAGGCAGCAGUGGGGAAUAUUGGACAAUGGGCGCAAGCCUGAUCCAGCCAUGCCGCGUGAGUGAUGAAGGCCCUAGGGUUGUAAAGCUCUUUCACCGGAGAAGAUAAUGACGGUAUCCGGAGAAGAAGCCCCGGCUAACUUCGUGCCAGCCGCCGCGGUAA